rnacentral:rRNA from 1 species
GACGAACGCUGGCGGCGUGCCUAACACAUGCAAGUUGAGCGACGAACCAGGGCUUGCCCUGGGGCAAAGCAGCGAACGGGUGAGUAACACGUGGGUAACCUACCCCGAUAACCGGGACAACCCGAGGAAACUCGGGCUAAUACCGGAUGUACUCACUGGACUUCGGUUCAGUGCGUAAAGGAAGCUUCGGCCUCCGUAUCGGGAGGGGCCCGCGGCCCAUUAGUUUGUUGGUGCGGUAACGGCUCACCAAGACCGCGAUGGGUAGCUGGUCUGAGAGGACGAUCAGCCACACUGGGACUGAGACACGGCCCAGACUCCUACGGGAGGCAGCAGUGGGGAAUCUUGCGCAAUGCGCGAAAGCGUGACGCAGCAACGCCGCGUGGGGGAAGAAGGCCUUCGGGUUGUAAACCCCUUUCAGGAGGGACGAAGGUUCGGCGGUGAAUAGCCGUCCGGACUGACGGUACCUCCACAAGAAGCCCCGGCUAACUACGUG